UUCUUCUUCUUCUUCUUGGCCUGCGUUGCUGAAAUUAUCUGUGUCAAUUAAUUAACCAUGGCAGGAUCAGCUAAUUCUAAUUCCAAUGGCAAUGAUUCGAGGACAGUUUGUGUAAUGGAUGCCUCCGGUCACCUUGGUUCGGCCCUUGUGCACUUGCUCUUGCAUAGAGGCUAUACUAUCCAUGCUGCACUCCAACACCAUGGUGAAUUCCAAUCAUUUGAGGGGCUGCCUUGUGGUAAUGAAAAACUAAGGGUAUUUCGUGCAGAUCCCUUUGACUACCACAGCAUAACAAAUGCAUUGAAGGGAUGUUGUGGUUUGUUUUACUGCUUUGAGCCUCCCUCUGACCACUCCACCUAUGAUGAAUUUAUGGCAGAAGUUGAGGUGAGAGCUGCACACAAUGUGUUGGAAGCAUGUGCUCAAACGCAUACAAUGGAAAAGGUCGUUUUCACAUCGUCUGUAACAGCCGUGAUCUGGAACGAAGGUCGCAACACGGCUUCGUCCGAUCUCGAUGAAAAGCAUUGGAGUGACAUCAAUUUUUGCAAGAAGUUUAAGUUAUGGCAUGCAUUAUCAAAGACACUAGCAGAGAAGUCAGCCUGGGCACUGGCAAUGGACCGAGCAAUAAACAUGGUGACCAUUAAUGGAGGUUUGUUGAUGACUCCUGACAUAACCAUCACAAAUCCAUAUCUAAAAGGAGCUGCUGAGAUGUAUGAGGAUGGUGUAUUUGUUACCGUUGAUCUCAGGUUCAUCGCGGACGCUCACAUAUGUGUGUUCGAAGACAUCUCAUCCUACGGACGAUAUUUAUGCUUCAACCAUGUAAUCAAUUGCAGCCAUGACGCUGAUAAGCUUGCCCAAAGGCUAUUACCAUCCUCUGAUUCUUCACCUCCUCAAAGUUCGGGGGAAACAAUGAUCUACCAAGAGAGAAUAAGCAAUAAGAAACUGAACAACAUGAUGAAGGAGUUUGAGAAUGAUCAACUUCUGACUAUAACUGAUCUGUGAACUGAUGAGACAGGCUACUGUCUUUAUUAUUUUCCAGAAGCUUUGUAUGUUUUUAUCUCAAAAGAAAGGGAACUGGCCACCAAGACUUGAUAGAACUUGUUGCGGAAAUUUGCACUAUGAUCUAAUUAUUCUACCAAAAUUUCUAAUCCAGGAAAAUAACUGUUGGGAUGAAAAACACUGACCUUUGAGAAUAAACUUUGAUCUGAUUGGGCACGGCACUGACAAGGAUAUAACUCGUAUAUAAGCUUCUGCGUGAAAUUUCAGCAACAUGCCAAUUUGCGAAGAACUUCUUAGAUGCGACAAGUAUUUAUGCCAUUACAGGGAUAACGAUCGAAGAAACGACCGGGCAACAUUAGUCAGGUAUAGGUUGUAAACGAGUCAAGCUACUUGUGAGCUAUACGUGUUUGACUCGAAAAAUAUUUGAACCCUACUUAUUCAUCGUUGAGUCGAAUUUAAAUUUGAACUGUACAAAUAAUAAAUUAAAUCGAAUUCAAAUAAUUCAACU